rnacentral:ribozyme from 1 species
ACAAACAUAAAUAAAGUAAACAACAAGAAGGUAUGGAAAGUAUUGGAUGAGGGGGCGACCUCUCUCAGUAUACAUAAUAGUGUUUAGUUUUUUUUUUUUUUUUUUUUUUUUUUAU